CGGACAGAAGCCCGCUGGCUGGGGUGUUUAGCUGUUAACUAAUUUUUUGUGGGAUCGAGGCCCGCCUGUCUAG
rnacentral:tRNA from 1 species